CUUCUUGUUGCUAAGAAUCAGGUGGUCUGUAGUCUUUCUCUGAUGACACUAUCUUCUCUCACUUUGUCUCUAUUGAGUUUUACCAAAAUGCUCUCCACCGUGUUUUCCCCAUCUGGUACCUGAAUCUCUUCAUGACAUAUCUGCCUCUCUAAUCUCCUACUUCUGCAAAGAAGGAAAAGAGGUACAUUUCCUCAACUCUCCUCCUGGGC